ACUCCCCAGCCCUGCUAGUGUGCCAAAGAACACCUGUGUGUAAGCUAACUGUGCAGGAAGAGUAGUUCAUCAACUGGAGGCACACACAGUGUAUGGAUCUGCGCAAAAUUGCUUCAAGGAAGAAGAAAAUAAGGAAGAUCCAGAGCUGACUGACCCAUGUGGACUUACGGAUGAUGAACUCACGGCCACACUGCUCAAAUAUUUAGUCGAAGCUAGACCCAUUGUAGCCACCACCAGGUCUAUCUAUAAGAGGAAGUAAAAGGCUACUAGAACCUACCCAGCCCAGACAGAAUGGUGGCACAGGAUAUGCAAACCAGUACUAUGACAGUGAAGAAGAGGCGGAAGAGUGGGGUUCAGAACAAGGAAGACCAGAGCAGUGGAGGAAUAUCAGCAUGCUAAUGAUCAGGAGCAGGUCACAGAUGUCCUGAUGGAGAUGUUCCCAGAGACAGAACCUACAAGCACUGGCAUUGCUGCCACCCGUCGGAGGCCUAUCAAGGGUGCAGCGGGGCGACCAGUCCAGUUUAAAUUCCCAGAUCUCCCUGCCAGUCUCAUGACCCUACAGAGACGGGCAUUGGAGCGCCGCCUGGUGCCUCUGUUGGUCUAGAUCCUGGUCUUCCUCAUCUUGACUUGCCUCUUCUACCUCAUCUACGCUGCCAUGGAAUAGAGCUUGGACCAACCCUUUGUGGCCUUGCUGGACAACCUCAGUAUGGGGACAGAGACUGAGGGACUGUCACUCCAGGCUGACCCCUAGGACUCAUCUGUACACCCUCUCUAGGGAGUAGUAACUCCCCUGCUCUAGCUAUGUGUCCUGAUUCUCCACCCUUCUCUUAAAGGGAGAAAUAUUUUCUUGCAUGGAUUUAAUAAUGGAUAAAACUUAAUCCAGCCAAUGCUUAUACCAAUCCUAAACUUUCAAAUACGUGAUGAGAAGUAGUGCACACUUCGGGAAAAAGAUGGACAUUCGGGAUACUCCACAAAUUGUUUUAGUUGUUGUGAGGCAAUUAAUUUGGUCACCGUAAUUCACCUUUACUCUCUGGAUUAAGUCACUCUUAACCAAGCAAGAUAGCCAUUAUAAUACUGUUGGUUGGAAAAUGUUCAGGUGAAACUACUGUUCAAAUAUAUACUGUGAUGGUGGAAGUGCAGAAAAUAAAAUGUGAUUUAGCCUAAUUUAGAGUAAUAAUAACAUUUUGA